GGCAGUAAUGCUGUCGGCGUCCUGCCGAGGAUCCCCAAAGGAACACGUCUGUCCUUCGGUGUCAGGUGGCAAGGGCCAAGCUGAGGGGACCUUGUGCUGUCAGAGCAGCAGCCAAGGCCUGAGGGGAAAGGCACAGCCACCAUCCCAGCCAAGGCCUGAGGGAAAGGCUCAGCCACCAUCCCAGCUGAUGUCCUGGGCUCCGUGUCCUCUGCCUGAUCGCCCACGGUGACUGUACCCAGCUGGGACACGGCUUUCCUGAGCUCUCCAGAGGGCCAGGGGAGUCCAGCUGCAGGCAGGGCUGAGUCUCCAUAACCAUCAUGUCAGAGCCACCAGCCCAGCCAGGGCUUCUCCUGCAGCCCUGAUACUGCUGGGGCACUUGAGGGACCUGUGGUGUGUGGCCCUGCAGCCUUCCCUGAAUGAGUGCUGGGAAAGCCCAGUUUGAGCAAAAGGACAUGGACAGCCCCUGCAGCACUGCUGGGCCUUGAAGCAAGCCCUGCCUCUGCCUUCAUCCUCACCCAGACAGGAACUCCAGGAAGACAACACCAACAGGUUCUGCUCAUCAGUGCUUGUUAGUGACACUGGAAUCAGACUGGACUCAACAGGAAGAGCUGGUUCACUGUUGAGGCUGCACUUGGGAGCCAGAUAAGAGAUAACAGAUACAGCACUAUACCCGGAAAAGAGCUGAGACAGUCUGGAAGGAAGAACCCUUCUUCUUGCCUCCCUUCUUGCCACCACCAGCCUCUUCAAAUUGAAUAAAGGGAAACAAAAAGGUUUUAAAUUAACAUGAAACAACUUUAAAUGUUAAUGUUUAUGGCUUUAAUUCCGAGAAAAGUUUGUCCCACAUUAAAAAUACAAUUUCCACAAAA